UAUACCGGCAGCCGGUAAACCAGAAUCUGAUUCGCUUUCCGCCCCCAGCCGUGCCUGUAAAAUACUAGUACCAUCUAGAUCGAUCGUUCCCGACGAUCUGUUAGCAGCAGCCUAAUGGGCAGGAACCCAGACGUCAGUGAAAUCCAUGUGAGGAAAAAAUUCAAGAUGCGAAGAAAAAGUUUUAGACUUUGCCGCAGCGACGAGAACGGCACCGCCUCGUUUGGUGACCGACACCGUAUGCUCAGGACCACUUCGUUGUACCGUGAACAAUACAACCGCAUCCUUUUUAGAUCAGCGCUUGGCGACUACAAUGAACUCGUAAGGGACGGCAUGCUUACGUGGGAAGCUUAUGAAGAGCAUCGCUUUGCAAUCGAUAGCUCAAUGGAAACUAUCAGGCAAAGUAUUCGAAGAUACAAAGAACGCCGUUUGCAGGCUGGGCUAUUUUACUUGGUGCAUGAUCUAGGUGGAACCGGGAUAACUGUUCAUACACACUUGUAUCGCAUGCCUCUCCGGGAAGCGCUAAGGAAACGCCGACAAGAAAUCAGAAGGAGGAAACCAGUACUCGAUGCUUCCAACAAUUCAAAGGAAUCAAACUUCUUUGACACCAUGGUGCUGAGACCAUCUUUGAAAAGGUUGGUCAUGUAUACGUUGUCUUCCAUUAUAAUAGGUUGUGUUAUAGUUUUCUCUGAAUGGCCAUGAAUAGUGCGGAGUAUUUUUUGUGCACUUGUGCUAUAGGGUUUUUGCUCCCCCUCUUUAGAGAUGGUCUCUAUUAAUGCAUAAUAAAAGACAUAUUUCUUCAAUGUACGGGAUGAUUUAAUCAUUUCAUCGUUUUCUUAGAAGGGUGCAAAAUUUAAUUAUUAUACUUGAUGUAAGAAAAAGUGUCGUGUAGCACGUAAUUGUCCACCCUAAAUGAACUAUAUAGCUCAA